rnacentral:lncRNA from 1 species
AAACACAUGGCCCCACCUUUGUGAGACUACCCUGGUUGUAUCCCCUAGCACCUUCCUCAGGAAAUGAAAGCGAAUUCCCUCAGACCGAAGUGGGAAUCAGUGCUUCAUCUCUUAUGAAUCUUUGACAUUUAGACUCCUGGAUUUCCUGGCAUCCAAAAUAUUUCUAUGGUCUUCAGAGAUUCCUGGGCUCUGGCCCACUGCAUGUUGGUAAAUCAACCAGAGAAUUGCUCGAAGAAGAUUCUCAUCAAUGAAGGGUAGACUAUCAGAAAGAACUGAAAAGAAAAAAAUCUGGGAUACUUUGGACCUCUUUUUUUUUUUUUUCCUGAUUAUCUGUAUAAAAGAUAAUAUAAUAAUGAUAAUCAAUAUUAAAAAGGACUGAUA